rnacentral:rRNA from 1 species
UCCUGCCGUUGGAUCAGU